GUCAGCUGGACCCUCAAGCCCGCCUCUCUCCUUUCGCCACGGCUUCAACGGAUGUCUGCUGUGAACAGAACUGGUGAUAGAAUCAUCUGAAAGGACUGCGCCAGGCUGAAACGCUGACCCCGCUCAUUAAGGUGAUGACACUAGGCAGCAAGAGUCUCCCUUCCAGGAGGGCCUGUUGGAGCCUCUGCCCCGUCUUCUACCUCAGAAUCCUACUUUGCCUUCUGGCGUGGACUCAGACACAGGUGCCAAGGAACGGUCUACCUGCAGAGAGCUGCGUCCCGAGGACUACAGGGCUCACUUCUUUGGCUCAGUGGAGCCUGUGAUGUGCGUUGAUGGUACCCUGGAGCUGGUUCCCCAGAAGGGCUGUUCCUGAGCCUCCCUGGAGAUCA